ensembl:lncRNA
CAAGGUCUACAGUGCUGAUGUUCCUGAGUUCCUUUGGGACCGUCCAAGAAGCUUUGUGCAACAUUGCCUGAAAAGCAUAGAGGCAGCUGCUCAUUAUACCUCCCAAAAUCUUCAAGAACAGAGCAAGGGUGUAUACAAAGUCCAGAGUGAACAGUCAUGUGAUUGGUACUCUGUAGACCUCGGAGACAAAGACCGUUUUCCAUCAUGUGAAUGCAGAUCUUUUAAAUCAUCUUUUUUACCCUGCAAGCAUUUUUUUGCUAUUUUCCAACACACUGACAGCUCCUGGUAUUCCUUGUGCCCAGAUUACAUAAACAGUCCAUAUGUCACUCUUGACUCAGAGGUGGUAUCAGGUCAGAAACACUUGCUGGUGAAAGAAGUGAUUGACAAGAGCAAGACUGUACAUCCUGUGGCCAAAGACAGUCUUGACAUUCAAUGCUUGAACAUGGAUGUGGAGGCAAAUGGUGUUUCCACUGCACAGAGUGGUCUACGAGAGAAAUUAAAAAUUCUCCUGGAUCUGUCAUACCUAUGCACUGAUCUUGAAUUGUUGCGAAAUGCGACUGCAGUCAUUGGUGAACUUGCAGGAAAGAUGAAAUGCUCUGUUCCAAAGGAAGAUGCUCUACCACUUCUAAGCAAGAAAGAUGAUGUGAAGCCGAAACUUCGUGUACUCCCAACCCAGAAAAGAAAAAGAAUGUUGAGAAACAAAAGAAGAAAAAUUGAAAAAAGAAACAGUGGUGACACGGGUGACCAGUCUGGUUCUUUGAAAGAAAACUCGCUGACAGAUUGUGCUACAAUAGCUUUGCCAGGUGAGUAGUAGGUAAAUGUUAUACAUUUAUUAUACUGUAACUAUGGGUAUGUAAAUAAUUUAGGUGUUACUGCAUGUGAAAUUUAAAAUGUGGUGUUAUUUGACAGAGGCUGAGACACUUCUGGCAGAGCUGAACAAGCAUGAGAGUGUUGAGGUAGACAGUGGAGGUAGAUUGUCUGUGUGUGGACAGGUGUUAGGGAGCUGUGAUUUUGAAACUCUGAAACAUCCUCACUGGUUAAAUGAUAAGGUAGAAUUAGGUGUCAUGAUAGGUUCAAUGUUUCAUAUCAGGGAGGGAUAAGUUUAGUAAAAUCUUCAAAACUAAGAUUCUUUGUUGUUUGUCACAGGUGAUAAAUGCAUAUUUGGACACUUUGAAACUCGAAAACAACACCAAAACCAACGCUGGAUACCACUGUUUCAAUAUUUCUACCUACAUGCCUCUACUUUGGGAGUGUGACAGAUUUGACUCCUGGAUGUUUGAAAA